rnacentral:tRNA from 1 species
AAUAAAGUGCCUGAUUAAAAGGAUUAUUCUGAUAGGAUAAAUAAUGUAUAAAAAUACCUUUAUUA